CAGGCGCCGGAUCCGGCCAGCGGUACGGGCGCACGGCAUCAUGGCACAACCUUUAUUUCCCAGUAACGUCGGGGCAUCAAGGCAGCGGUGGCCAUUUGCGAGGACCUGCCGGGACGCCGAUCUCAGAUUCGCCGCCGCAGCCUCGACAGCGCUCCUCGUCGCUGUCGCGGUCACGCACUCCUUCCUGCCCGCCCGUCAGGUAACGCCGAGUUCUGUCGCAUCCUCUCUGUUUCAUUUGGCUCUGCAGGCAGUAGAUGCUGGAGCCACUCGAGAUCUGGUUGGGGAGCAUGUCUCAGGAUCUGACUUGUUCUUACAGCAGCAGCAACUCGAUCUAUUUAGUCUUUUGUUCCCUAUGCCUGUGAUUUGGUUCCGUCAGCGAGUCUGUUUCUUGGUUGGAUCUCCGUGCUUUGAUUUCGGGUCUGUAGCUCAAAGCAAAUUCAUUUUUGUUCCCGCAUCUACCUGUUUCUACAGUAUCUUGUCCUCAAGUGGCACCGUAACUUAGUGUGAUCUAAUUUCUUCUUGUGUGCCUGCCUCCGUAGCUGGUGUUUUGCGUUUUCUAUGCUCAGCUCGGCCUUCUUUCUUUCUCUGUUCGCUGCCUCAGCUCUCGGUUCUCUGCUGUUUUAUUCAGUCGUCGGCAAUUCAGAGCAGCAGCAGUGUUGUCCUUUGCUUAUUGAUUUGCAGCUGCUAGAGCCUGGCUGGUUUGUUUUGAUUGCCACAGGCCAACAACGGUACAGGAUCCAAUCUUGCCUUGACCUUUCAAUCGAUUAAAUUUUUGGCUUGUUCUCUGUUCGAAUUUUUCUCUCUGGCCGACAGUAGCAAGCAGCUGCCUUUCAUUUAGUUCACCAGCUAGCGCAGCAGUAAGCAGCAAGGGACAAAGGCAAAAAAGCUUGAAGAACUAGAUUGUCCUGCUGCAUCAGACCUGAAGCUAUGUUGUAUUUUACUGGAGUUUUAGUUUAGGUGCUGUCACGUUGAAGGUACAGAAACAAGUGUGGGGGAACGUCGCCGAAAAUGCAGCACAGACCAGCCCGAGCAAGACACACGAGAUAAGGACCUGGAGGCCCACAAAGGGGUCGGCCGGCCCUUGGGUUUGCCAGGAGGGGAGUCCCAGGUUAGCUUAAUCAAUAGAGGAGUACUAUUUGAUGAAAGAAGCAAAAGAGAAGGAGAAGAGAAAUUGAGCUACUGUGCUUGCCUAAGGUAAACAAGCUAGCUGAAAGCAUGAAAUAUCAAUGGAUUUACUAGCUGAUGAAGAAGGCCAACAACGGGCAGUAAUGGUCCUUGUGAUUCAUGGAUUGAUCUUGUCACAUUUGGCUUGUUUUGCAUACUUGCAGACUCGUCUCUUCUGGAAGAUGGUAUUAGUCCGAUUUUCUUAAGUUUUAUGGGUUGAAGAAUGGGUGCAUAUACAAGCUUGUCGAACUUCUUGCUGAUUGUGGAGGCACUGAUCAUUUUUUUUACAAUUCAGGCGUUGGUUUAAUUUUCAGAAUGUAUUCCAUUAAGAGAAGCUAUAAUUAGUAUCGUGUACAAGUAUUGUAUGCUUAUCAUAAGCCCUUAUCUGUUUUAGAAAAAAAGAUUUUUCUGAUUAGUGGUAGGAAGGAAUCCUAGGAGAUUGCGAACACCUUGAUAAUCUAUUUCAUAUAUAUUUCCACUUUUCAUUAUCAUUUUUGUGAAGGUCCUCUUUUCAUCAGAUUUGUUUGAUAGACUGAAUCUAUUUUUCCCAUUAUGGGUAGACUAGGAGGAUAAAGUUUGUAGCAAUGAUUGACUAUCUCUUGCAAGCAUGUUGAGAGAAAAAAGCAAGCCACAAAUCCUGAAAACUAAUUGAAAUUGGAGUCCCUAUGAUGGGUUCUUACUGUAAGCCUGAUCUGCAUUUUCCUCCUGUUCAGUCCAUCUGCUCAUUCCAUAUUCAGAUUGUCAUCAGACUGUAUACCAUUUUCAUACAAAAAGAAGAGCAUACAUGUGGUGCAUGUUUCCUUAGAUUUCGUGACGGGUUUCAAAUAAUGUGCUUUCCAUCGCAAUAUAGAUGUUAAUCUGGUUAUAUUAAUUCGGGUGCAAGCAAGAGAAAAAAGAGCAAAGAUUGUGCUAAACAAAGAAACAUACUUUGCUCCUUUUCUUCUGUAUGAUACAUUUUUAUCUUCGGCUCGAUUUCUUACACUUUCUCUUUUAUGAUAUGGUCAGGCUGUGUUCCAUCAAUGUCUAAAUGACUAACCUGUAUGCUUGGAAAAUGCAAACAUCCACAUAAAAUACUCUUGAAAGCAUUAGAUGACCAAGGAAACAGGCAGGAUGGUCUUCUGAAACUAAGGCGAACAUCUUUGCCAGUGAGUUAUCUUCCUAUAAUAUUCACUCUCCUUUUGUUCUCAGACACAUUUGCCAUAGACUGUAUUGCACAUAAAUAAAUAAUCUUCAUUACAGUUUCUAAUUAUGCUACUGUUCAAUUGCAUUUUUUGUAGUGUUAGGCCCUAAUAGGCCAAUAAUCACAACAACCAACCAAGGAAUCUCCAUAACCCUGACUUGUUUGUGCUGCUUACACUCCGAAAAUUAUCAUGCUCUAUUUUAUUCGUGCGGUCACUACUUACUAAAUUAUCCUUUUAUAUGUUUCAAGUAUGCAGAAAUAUUGACAAUCAACUUGAGGGUAGUGGUACUCUGAAACGUAUUUGCAUGCAGGAGUAAGUGUAGACCAGAAAGACAAGAUAUAAUUAUUUUCUUCUUCUUUUGGAACCCAAUGCUUUUGAAUCUGUUUAGUAAGUAGUAUCUGGCGGUAGAUUGAGCAAAUCAACUUAACGGCUCGAAUUUGUAUCAUUGGACAAGGAAAUAAGGAAGAAAUGAAAAAAAAGCUAGGCCGAAAUAUGAAGUGAGGGGCUCAAGUUCUUUGGAUCAUUGGCAUAUGCAGUCCAUGACAUCAGUCAUGAGAGGGAACUAUCUCACUGUUUGGUAUGUAUAUAUAUUGCUUUAAUUUUGUUUGGAAAUCAAAACAUGACAUGGAAAAAUAGUUCGCCUAAGAGGGUAAUAGGUGCUGAUUGUUCCAUGCUACCAUAUAAUGCUCCAUAGAUAUUUUAUUUGAAUCAUUAGGGUUGUUUGUUUCCAUCGCAUAGGACUUUACAAAUAUUUGUGCUAGAUACUAUCUUCUAAGGUCAGGCAAUAUAUCUUCAAGGGCUUUAUGGAUUAUAACGGGAAGGUGGGAAGUUGUAGAGAUCAAUGUUUUGGGCAGUAUGCCAUUCUGUAUCCAGGCAGGUGGGUGCUAAAGGUAAUUACUUAGAGAGUACGCCACACUUUUAUUCUGGUUAUACAUGGAGAACCAAUGUAGAGUUUCUCAGUGAUGAUUGGAGAAGUCUUUGAGUUGCAGGAAAUUAUUAUGUUGUGAUGAAUGUACCAUGAGGGUCAUUUAGCAAGUCUGCUGAAAAACUUGGGGCUGACUGGUAGACAUUGAUCUUGGUGACAAAUGAAUUCAUCUUAAUGAGUUGGUUACCAUUCUUGAUAGAUUUUGAUACCAUCUUCAGUUCCUUCCUCUUCAAUUAGCCCUUCGAUCAGGUUGUUGCCCAGGGGCACUGUACCAAGCACCACCUCCCCACCUCCAUCACACAUACCAUUUGGAGUUAGUUGAGGCUCUAAAGAUGGAUAUGACUGCCAGAAGAACUAAUGCUGUACAAAUCUGAUCCAGUUAUUCAUGAAGGAAUUGAAUGCGUUGGUGCGUCUUGGCAAAGCAACAAAGGAAGUGAUGGAUCCCUUUGACCUUUAAAGCUGGAACGUGGGUGGACCGUCUUCCGUGGUGGUGGUGCCAUUUUAUCACGGUGGAUGAUGCUGUAAAAGUCUAGAUGUUACGGAGUAAUAGCUAGCUUGGCAAUAUUUAUGAAAUAGCUGGCUCAACAAUGUUUAUAUCAAUACAACAUCUAAAAUCCAUUGCCACUAUAUUAUGAAAACCAAUGUUCGCACACAUAUACCAAUGUGUCUUAGUCAUUUAUGUUCGGAAAUUAUAAGGAAUUCUUGAAAAAUAUUUUUCACUUGAGGAUAAAUCAAAACAGAAGGUGUAAAUAUAAAUAUAAAUAAAUGUGAUGUAGGUUAAAUUUUAAACACGUGCCUAGACACGUGCGUCUACAUUAUUCUUACAUGAGAUGUAAUUUGUUUCCAUAUUCUCGAUUUUGAUCUGUCCACUUAGCUGUAUUCUUGAUGAAAUUCAUAUAACAUGGAGUAUAUGAGGAUCCUGUAGAGUGAUAUACAAUUAGUUUUAAAUAUGUGUCUGGGCAUGUGCACCUCCACUAGUAAUUACAAGUGUGGUGCUAUUGCUUUUACUCCAUGUCUGAGAUUUGUAAACGACGUUAUCCGCAUUCGUCUUGUCCCAUAUUCAAUAUGAAUCUAUUUGCAUUCAUAACUGACAAAAUCUGUAUAAGUAUCAGUAUCCCGAUAGGAAUUUGUGUCCGUCACUAAAUCCGAAAGAAAUUAUGAAAACAAACAUAAUAUCAGUGAAAUUCGUUUGUAUCCGAUCCGUUUAGAGCAUCUUAUCUUCAGCAGAUUAUUUAUCCCCCUCCUCGGUAUCAAAAAAACUACAUUUUUAAUAAUUGAAGGUGCGUCAACCGAUUACCGAUUCAAUUCUCAUUACAAAAUUUUGUUUUUUUCAGCAAACCACAUCUCCCACCCUACAUGAAAGGGAUUCGGUUCUCCAUCGCAUCCUUGAUUGAUUGGAUUUUAGUUGUGGGGCAGCAUCACUAAAAUCGUGAAAAAUGGUUAUCGGUAACUCCCCUGUUUCAAAUUGUAUAUUAUUUUGAUAAAUCUAGGUAUAUAUAUUUCGCUAUGUACUUAGAUAUAAUAUAUAUCUAGAUAUAUAUGGUAAAAUCUAUGUAUUUAUAUUCACCAAACUAGCCCAUAAUUUUAAACGGAGGGAGUAAUA